rnacentral:tRNA from 1 species
GCCUGAGUGGCGAAAUUGGUAUACGCGCACGUUUCAGGUACGUGUUCUUCGGAGUAUGGGUUCGAGUCCCUUCUCAGGCA